rnacentral:rRNA from 1 species
AUUGAACGCUGGCGGCAUGCCUUACACAUGCAAGUCGAACGGCAGCGGGGACUUCGGUCCGCCGGCGAGUGGCGAACGGGUGAGUAAUAUAUCGGAACGUACCUUUCAGUGGGGGAUAACGUAGCGAAAGUUACGCUAAUACCGCAUAUUCUGUGAGCAGGAAAGCAGGGGAUCGCAAGACCUUGCGCUGAUUGAGCGGCCGAUAUCAGAUUAGCUAGUUGGUGAGGUAAAGGCUCACCAAGGCGACGAUCUGUAGCGGGUCUGAGAGGAUGAUCCGCCACACUGGGACUGAGACACGGCCCAGACUCCUACGGGAGGCAGCAGUGGGGAAUUUUGGACAAUGGGGGCAACCCUGAUCCAGCCAUGCCGCGUGAGUGAAGAAGGCCUUCGGGUUGUAAAGCUCUUUCGGCCGGGAAGAAAUCGCGCAGGCUAAUACCCUGUGUGGAUGACGGUACCGGAAUAAGAAGCACCGGCUAACUACGUGCCAGCAGCCGCCGCAG